rnacentral:tRNA from 1 species
ACCGCCGCCGGCGCGGCGGCGCCGCCGGUCGUGCCGGUGGGCCGGGAGCGGCGGAUACCGCUCUCGUUCGGUCAGCAGCGGCUGUG